UACGUAGGGUGCAAGCGUUAAUCGGAAUUACUGGGCGUAAAGCGUGCGCAGGCGGUUCGGAAAGAAAGAUGUGAAAUCCCAGGGCUCAACCUUGGAACUGCAUUUUUAACUACCGGACUAGAGUAUGUCAGAGGGGGGUGGAAUUCCACGUGUAGCAGUGAAAUGCGUAGAUAUGUGGAGGAGCACCGAUGGCGAAGGCAGCCCCCUGGGAUAAUACUGACGCUCAUGCACGAAAGCGUGGGGAGCAAACAGG
rnacentral:rRNA from 1 species